rnacentral:rRNA from 1 species
GACGAACGCUGGCGGCGUGCUUAACACAUGCAAGUCGAACGGAGAGGCUCUGCUUUUGUGGUUUGCUCGGGUGGCGAACGGGUGUGUAACACGAGAGUAACCUGCCCCUGACGUUGGGAUAACUUGAGGUAACUGUGGCUAAUACCGGAUAGGAGCACCUGCUGCUAGGUGGGUGUUGGAAAGUUUCGGCAGGUGGGGAUGAGCUGGAGGCUAAUCAGCUUGUGUGUGGGGUAGUGUAUUACCAAGGCUUUGACGGGUAGCCGGCCUGGGCGGGUGACCGGAACCAUUGGAACUGAAAUGCGGCCCAGACCAAUCUGGGAGGGAGCGGUGGGGUAUAUAGUACAGUGGGCGGAAGCCUAAUGCAGCAAAGCCGCGUGCGGGAUGACGACAUUCGGGUUGUAAAGCGAAUUCGCCUGUGACGAAGCGUGAGUGACGGUAAUGGGUAAAGAAGCACCGGCUAACUACGUG